rnacentral:rRNA from 1 species
UUUUAUUUGAGAGUUUGAUCCUGGCUCAGGAUGAACGCUGGCGGCGUGCCUAACACAUGCAAGUUGAGCGAUUUACUUCGGUAAAGAGCGGCGGACGGGUGAGUAACGCGUGGGUAACCUACCCUGUACACACGGAUAACAUACCGAAAGGUAUGCUAAUACGGGAUAAUAUAUUUGAGAGGCAUCUCUUGAAUAUCAAAGGUGAGCCAGUACAGGAUGGACCCGCGUCUGAUUAGCUAGUUGGUAAGGUAACGGCUUACCAAGGCGACGAUCAGUAGCCGACCUGAGAGGGUGAUC